rnacentral:misc_RNA from 1 species
AGUUGAGUUUAAAUAAAUUCACCCUUUUUAAAUUUAGUUACUCGCAUCAAAUUUAAAAUCAUAUUUGUUUUUGCUUAUAGAUCAUUUUCAUCCCACAGUUUCAAAUGAUUCUCCCUCAUAUAAAUGAAAGGUAUGUUAAGUUUCGGCAUACCAGUAGCAGAAACAUUCCAAAAAUAUACAAAUUGUACACUUAAGAUUCAAAAGAGAGACAUGACAGAGAAAAUUACACUUUCUCUAUUGCCUGCCUUCUUUCUUCUUCUUCGGCUUUAAUCCAGGCGGCCUUGUCUCUUUCAAGUUUGGAGAGAUGCGGCCUGAUGGAGUUCCCUAAACUUAAGCCUCCCCAUACUUCUUGCAACUCCCUCUCCCUUGCUUCUCUACGAGAUACAGAGAAUCUAAUCUGGUCUUCAGGUUGCUGAGAGAAAGCCAUCUUCUCUCUCUCAAGUCUUGAUUUAUGUUUAACCAAUAUUUGGUCAAGCCCACCUUCUUCAUUCAUCUGCAUGUGCACAUUUCUGCCUUUUGUCUUCAUCUUUUGGUCUUCUCUGUUCAAACUGAACUCAAUUUUCUCUUUCUCUAGUCUAGAUACAUGCUUCACUAAAACUUUGUCUAAGCCUUCAUAGUCUGUAACAGAAUUUCCUCCAUGUUUAUUUUGGUGACUAAUAUUUCCAUGGUUGUUUCUCAAUGACAAGGCUUGCAUUUUCUCCCUUUCCAGUCUAUGCACCGGCUUCACGAAGAUCUUGUCCAAGCUGUCUUCUGUCUCUGAGAGUGUUAUUAUAGACUCAUCAGGACCCUUGGCAGUAUUUGGCAGUGGCAAGGUCAUUUGCUUUUUAUCCAUUUUAGAUUUUCUAUCCUUUCCCUUGUUCAAGUCAACAUUUUCCUUAAAUGCUGCUUCUCCAUCGGAAGAACAGGUGUCUUUCUCAGAUACUGAGAUUGAAGUAGACGAAUUCGCUUUCUUGUUCAAGUUCAUCAGCUUAUCCUCUUCAACUAGGUCAUUUUUCCUUUUGUUCUUUGCUUCCUGGACCUCUUUUUCGAGUCUUGACACAUGUUUUAUCAGAAACUUAUCCAGGCUGGGGACUUCAGGAAUUUCUUGUUUUCCUCGACCAACCACCUUACCUGGUGCUCGUUCAAGUUCCUUGCCAUCUACAAUUUCAGAAUUCUUUCUUAUCUGUUGAGCUUCCUUUUCAAGCUUUGCUGUAUGCUUUAUCAGUAUACUUCCCAGGUCAGGAAUGACCUCCAUUGAGUCAUUUACUGGUUUCUUAUGAGCAAUUUCAAAAGUUUGCCCUGAAUUCUUCUUUGCCUCUUCAAUCUCUUUCUCAAGCUUAGAGGAAUGCUUCACAAGAAUACUCCCCAAAUCAGGAAGAGGAUCAUGUUUAUUUUCUGAAUUUACCCUUCCAUUGUCAUCUUUAUCUGUAUUCUUUAAAUCUCCUUCUGCAGAUCCAUUCCUCUUGCUGUUCUUAGCUUCUUGCACCUCCCUUUCUAGUUUUGACAUGUGCUUAACCAAAAACUUGUCUAGACUUGGGACUUCUGACUCAGCAGCUUGCUUCCUUUUCAUCUGCUCCAGAUUUGAGUAUCUCAUUGUUCCUGGACCCACAGAAGACAUUCUUCGAGGAAUGUUAAAAUUUGAGGUAUAAUCAGCUGCAGAGUCAUCAUGCAGCUUACUGCUUUCCACUUCUGCUAAGGCAGCAUUUAAACCACAAGUUGCCACUAUAGUGGCCAAAGAAGAAAGUUCAUCUUCUUUCAAACAUCUGAGUCUCUCAAGCAUAAUAUCCACAAGUUUUGUCAUAUUAAGCUGAUCCAAUGACUGCCUCCUUUUCUGGUAUUUCCUCUGUCUUGUCUCAAUUGCUGGCAACUUACAGUCAGCGUCUGAAGCGCUAAAGCCAUCAUUUUGUGAUACUGUUUCAAGUUCUGACCCUGACUCUGAUUCAUGCUCUGAAGAAAGCUCUAAUAAUUCUUGAUUAUUAUCAUCCAUAUCUGGAUUCUGACUUAUUUUGCACAGCAACUCUUUGACUUCAUCUUCGUUAAAAGAAGGACAGGUUGCAAGCCUUUUAAAUGCAAUUUUUACUGCUGCAGCUACUUCUUUAUCCACCUCAAAUGCUGUUUCAAAUGAUGCCGUGACAGUAUGAGUGGUAGAUCUCCCUCCAUUAGCUGUAGAUGUUUCAAUUUGACUAGGCUUCCGAGGGCAAUUUGGCAUAUCAUACAUGAUCACCCCCAUAGCUGCAGCUACUUCAAAAGCUUCAGCUGCAUUUUUCUCUGCCUUUAGCAGAAGGGCUUCUGCUUCUUUGCUCUGGAUCCUGGCUGCUCGAAGUAUUCUACACCAAGAUGCUUCAACCAAUGCACCUUUUCGAGCCUCCAUUGCUGUAUGUGCUGCCUCCCUUGCUGCAAUUUUUUCUCUCAAGACUCUUGAAUAAUGUGGAUUAGAAUCUCCUAGUGUCUCAUCAAGAGUUAAAUUCAUGCCAUCUAUUUCCUGCAGCAUUUUGAUUUUCCUCUUCAAGUAGGAGUCCACCUUUUUGCGUGGGAACCAGUUGAUAGGAGAACUCUUACGAUGAGGAGGCUUCUUAAUUUGUGAUGUAAAUUUGGUUAGAGCAUUCAAAGUUGAUUGGCCAACCCCUUUUGGUGAUUUAUUCUGCACUAUUCAAUAGCAGAAAUGUAAAAUCUGGAAAUGAAAAUGGAGUCAAAUGCAGCUAAAGCUUUUGAAGUAGCUUCAACUGGCUACGGGUGUUGCGUUCGCGCACUUAUUGAAAAGAAUGCAAGACGAAAACUUGAAGUUCAAAAUGUCUUUCCAGCCUUAGAAGCUGAAGUCACAUUUUCACGGGUAUCGCAUUCUUCCGUAUGAGAAUCAACAGCGGUUUCAGUGCUGUGCUUUAACACAGAGAUGCAACCCAAGUCGAGGCACCCGAGAUCCAUUGCCAGAUUAACCUUUUCAGAUAGAUAGCUCUCGAGAAUUAAAGCCAAAAAAAUUUAAAAUGAUUGAAGAGAUAGAGAGAAGGAGAUGUAUGAAUAAAAUAAAUGUGGGUUUGAAAGAUCGUCUUUGGUGGCGUUACGUUUCUUGAAAAUGGAAAGCAGCCAACGGCUAUCUUCUA